GAGGUUGUGCGGGACAACCUUCUCCUGACAGAAGGAUGUCGCUGCUGAGCCUGUCUUGGCUGGGCCUCAGGCCGGUGGCAGCAUCCCCGUGGCUGCUCCUGCUGGUGGUCGGGGCCUCCUGGCUCCUGGCCCGCAUCCUGGCCUGGACCUAUGCCUUCUAUCACAACGGCCGCCGCCUCCGGUGUUUCCCGCAGCCCCGGAAACAGAACUGGUUCUUGGGUCACCUGGGCCUGGGACGACCUGGCCCAGUUGCCCUUCCUGACCAUGUGCCUGAAGGAGAGCCUGCGGUUGCAUCCCCCAAUCCCUACAUUCGCCCGCGGCUGCACCCAGGACGUGGUGCUCCCAGACAGCCGAGUCAUCCCCAAAGGGAAUGUCUGUAACAUCAACAUCUUCGCAAUCCAUCACAACCCCUCAGUCUGGCCAGACCCUGAGGUCUAUGACCCCUUCCGCUUCGACCCAGAAAACGCCCAGAAGAGGUCACCUAUGGCUUUUAUUCCUUUCUCGGCGGGGCCCAGAAGUUCGCGAUGGCAGAGAUGAAGGUGGUCCUGGCGCUCACGCUGCUGCGCUUCCGCAUCCUGCCCGACCACAGGGAGCCACGCAGGACGCCGGAGAUUGUUUUGCGUGCGGAGGACGGACUUUGGCUGCGAGUAGAACCCCUGGGCUGAGGCCUGCAGUGACCCACCCACCUACCUUUGCAUCACCUACCUUUGCACCAACUACCUUUUCAGAUUUCCGGUAAUAAAUCUGUGUUGGCCCCUGUGCCUCAGUCCCGCGGAUGGCCAGUAGGGGGCGCUGGAGGACUGCGGGGAUCUAGGGCCUGGCUGGGAAGAGGCGGGGAGAUGUCUCUGUGCCCAAGAUACUCACUGCCUCUCUGGGUGAGCACAGGAGCCCCGUG
rnacentral:lncRNA from 1 species